UUUCACUUUCGAACGCUGUGCCGCUGAAAUUAGUCUCGUUUUGUAGAGGAAUUAACGGAGCAGUCUACGGUUGAGUCAUCAUUUAUUUCGUCUGAACGACGAAGGAGUGCGGAGCAGUUUAGUCGGCCAAAUCGAGUCGAUCUCGGGGUCUCGUAUGUAUCCUUUAUACGUUUUCUUGUUUUAGACGCUGUGCCGGAAAAAAUGACGUCUUCUUGUAAAAAGAUAACGCCGAGAUUAACGAAGAGAUCGUGUCAAUUAUCGGUUCAAUGAUAAAGGAGUACUGAGCAAUCUAAGAGCGACUCGAGUUUUUUUUCAGAGAGUUGGCAUGUCGCGUCGGUCACAAAGAUAGAGGAAAUGAGGUCGCGAAGUUGUUGUUUAAGGCGGGGCUUCGUACGUCGCUUGGCAACGGCCUAUGCGCUCCAUUGUUGCGAGCAUAUCCGUCCAGCUACAUCAAAGGAGAAACCGGGAAACAUUGCCGUUGUUCAGUCGCUUCGAUUGGAAUUUUAGCAGCUAGCAGUUCAGUGAGAAUCUUUAGUUGACAAAUUAACUGAGACCGAUAAGUAUGUUGAUCUUCUGUAUAAAUGUAGUUGUAGCAUGGACAUGGAGAAGUUCAGUUCAGUGGGAAUCUUAGUUGGUGAAUUAACUGACACCGAUUUUAGGAUUUACUUCUUUCACAAUUAUUGAAACGCACAGGAGCGGAGGAAAUGGAAGUAGUUAUAACAAUUGAUACUCUACGCCGUGGCGACCUGGCGGGAUUGAUGCAACAGUUGCUGGAAUUGCUGGAAAAUAUACUGUUAAAUACAGUCGGAUGGUGUCUAUUGUUCCAGAUACAAGUCUAGAGGAAGCUCAUGCAACAGGAUUGACAAUAGGCUUUGAAACUUUUGUUUGCAAAAUCCAGAUUUGACUUUUUUGAUUUUCUGAGGACAAUUCAGGUGCGUCUAGAUAAUCAACGGAAUGGAAUUCUUCAUUUGAAUGUGUGGGAUACACAUUGAAUAUAUAUAUGCUAUCAUUACGAGCAUUACAGCGCAACCUUUAGACCAAACUUGAGAAUGCGGUGUUUUGGGAAAAGUAAACAACUUUUUCUUUUCGCCGUUUAGUGAAAGUUAGUUUCGAAAGAGUGUCAACAGAAUUGUUGAAAGGUUCACUCGAUAUCUCGUAAAUCUCCAACAUUUUUGCAAGAUUCAGUUGAUACGAAAUGUCAUCAGCAUCUACAACUGAGAAUACAUUUCAAUAAAACACC